rnacentral:lncRNA from 1 species
CAUUGUUGCAGGAAGACAAAUUAUGAGUGGAGUCUAGGCCUGCCCUCCGUUUCUGAUAAAGGUGGAUCAGGAAACCUCAAAUAAAAUUAUGAGCUAAUAGUUCGUGGAAUAAGGAGAAGACUGCCAAUUCUAGCUUUAGAUGUGGGAAAAGGAGAUGGAUUGCCAUCAUGGGUCCCGGAGACGGAGGAACAGUCGGCUCACUACCCCUACUUUUACCCCCAAAGCGUCAGUGGAAAAGGGCCUGAAGAAUGCGUCCAUCAAGCCAUCUGAAGUGUUGUUAGUGCUGUCUAGUCGAUUCCCACUCUUAGUGACCCUGUGUAUAGCAAAGCAGCACCCUGCCCAGUCUUUUUGCGCCAUCCUCUCACCUUCUGGUGCUAAAACAUACAAUGCUCCGCUGCUAUUCACAGGGUUUUCAUGGCCAGUUUUUUGGGAAGUGAGUGGCCAAGUCCUUCUUCCUAGUCUGUCUAGUCUGGAAGCUCUGCUGAGACCUGUCCACCACAGGUGGCCCUGCUGGUAUUUGAAAUACUAGUGGCAUAGCUUUCAGCAUCACAGCAACACCCAGCCGCCACAGUAUGACAACCAACAGACAGGUGGUGUGAUCCCUGACUGGGUAAUGAACAACGAACCCCUGCCUCGGUGGUGACAGCCCGGAUCUUGAUCACUAGACCACCAGGGCUGGCUCUCUGAAGUGGAUCCCUACAGGAGAGCAAGCACUCCCAUAUAGUGGGGUGGGCUUUUGUUGCUAUUUUUGAAAGAGUGAUGUCUUAGUGGCCAUUUCAAAGUUGUGAUUAAGUUCUGUCAUGUGAAAACAGUCCAUGGUCAGGAAGUUCAUUUGGGCUUCAAAAGAAAAUUCUUGAUCAUGUACAGUCCUUUCAUGUAUUAUACUGAGACUCAAAUCAGGUAUUAUUUUAUUGGUGGAUCUCACACUUUUGAAUAGGGGGAAAUUUUAUUAAAACUGUAUUAUUUCAAUGCAACUCUGUACACUGAUGCCAAAGCAAAUAUGAUCAUUAUACAUUCUCACAAAGGAUUUGUGCAUUACACUCCACUUCUCUGGUAGUUAGAUAUGGCAUUGUGGUUAAGCAAAUGUGUAGAUGUGUAGUGAAUUAUCUUUGUAUGAGGAUGUGGCUAGGUAGGAGCAGAUGCUCAGCUAGUUCUGGCUGUAGGUAUCAGAUAAUACCCCUCUGGCCCAGGCCCUCUUCACGUAUCUAUUUGCAUUCAAAUGUGCGUGUCCAGUCUUGUCUUUUUUAUUUUGUUCGUUUGUUUGCUUUCACAAAGAUACCUGGAAACAAUGGAGUGCAGAAAACUGUCAGUGAAUGUGGUGAGGGGGAUGCCUAAGAGGCACUGUACUUAAAAAUUAACAGCAAGAUUUUGGCUUCGGACAGCUAUACAAACUUAGGCAAAUUACUCAAUUUCUGUGAACUUCAGUUUCAUAAUAUUAAAAUAGCAAUAAUAUCAUAGGUGUGUUGUGAUGUUUGAAUUCAGGGCAAAUUGUUUGUAAUAACAAAAUAUUGGAAACAACACAAAUGUACCUUCAUAGGGGUAUGGUUGAAUGGACGCUGGUACCUGCCCCUAAUGGAGCAUUACCUAGCUGUAACUAAAGCAAGUCCUCAGAGUGGAAGCAAACCAAUGCAAAGGAACUACCUCUGCGCCAAAUUGGAGACAUAACCACACACAGAGAAAAGAAUUAUUUCAAGUGACUUUAGAACUGUGCAUACAUUUACUGGUAUAUAUUCUAAGGGCAAAAAAAGAAAAAAACCUGUGAAAAAUAUUAAACUUCAGUUAGUAGUUGUACUAUUAGUGUUAAUAAUAUUGGUAGUUAUUUUCACUCUAUUUUUGUUAAUGUUGUAAAAUAGAGCAAGAAUAAAAUACUAAAGAUAGUAGCA